CACUUAGAUGUCCUGGGCCGCACGCGCGCUACACUGAGUGUCUGAGAUACGAGUCUGCCUGGUCCGGCAAGGUCUAGGUAAUCGCUAAAAGACACAUCAUGCUUGGGAUAGAUUAUUGCAAAUAUUAAUCUUGAACGAGGAAUUCCUAGUAAGCGCAAGUCAACAGCUUGCGUUGAUUACGUCCCUGCCCUUUGUACACACCGCCCGUCGCUACUACUGAUUGGAUGUUUAAGCGAGGUUCUCGAACUGCUAGCGACUUAGCUUCGGUGAGGUCGCAGUGUGGGAAGUGAACCUAGCUUUGGUGUCUAGAGGAAGUAAAAGUCGUAACA
rnacentral:rRNA from 1 species